GUAGCUGGUCUGAGAGGAUGAUCAGCCACACUGGAACUGAGACACGGUCCAGACUCCUACGGGAGGCAGCAGUGGGGAAUUUUGGACAAUGGGGGCAACCCUGAUCCAGCCAUUCCGCGUGAGUGAAGAAGGCCUUCGGGUUGUAAAGCUCUUUCGGCAGGAACGAAACGGUGGGGGCUAAUACCCUCCGCUAAUGACGGUACCUGAAGAAGAAGCACCGGCUAACUACGUGCCAGCAGCCGCGGUAAUACGUAGGGUGCGAGCGUUAAUCGGAAUUACUGGGCGUAAAGCGUGCGCAGGCGGUUCUAUAAGACAGAUGUGAAAUCCCCGGGCUUAACCUGGGAACUGCGUUUGUGACUGUAGGACUCGAGUGUGGCAGAGGGGGGUGGAAUUCCACGUGUAGCAGUGAAAUGCGUAGAGAUGUGGAGGAACACCGAUGGCGAAGGCAGCCCCCUGGGUCAACACUGACGCUCAUGCACGAAAGCGUGGGUAGCAAACAGGAUUAGAUACCCUGGUAGUCCACGCCCUAAACGAUGCGAACUAGGUGUUGGGGAAGGAGACUUUCUUAGUACCGCAGCUAACGCGUGAAGUUCGCCGCCUGGGGAGUACGGUCGCAAGAUUAAAACUCAAAGGAAUUGACGGGGACCCGCACAAGCGGUGGAUGAUGUGGAUUAAUUCGAUGCAACGCGAAAAACCUUACCUACCCUUGACAUGCCAGGAACUUGCCAGAGAUGGCUUGGUGCCCGAAAGGGAGCCUGGACACAGGUGCUGCAUGGCUGUCGUCAGCUCGUGUCGUGAGAUGUUGGGUUAAGUCCCGCAACGAGCGCAACCCUUGUCAUUAGUUGCCAUCAUUUAGUUGGGCACUCUAAUGAGACUGCCGGUGACAAACCGGAGGAAGGUGGGGAUGACGUCAAGUCCUCAUGGCCCUUAUGGGUAGGGCUUCACACGUCAUACGAUGGUCGGUACAGAGGGUUGCCAAGCCGCGAGGUGGAGCCAAUCCCAGAAAGCCGAUCGUAGUCCGGAUCGGAGUCUGCAACUCGACUCCGUGAAGUCGGAAUCGCUAGUAAUCGUGGAUCAGCAUGUCACGGUGAAUACGUUCCCGGGUCUUGUACACACCGCCCGUCACACCAUGGGAGUGGGUUUCACCAGAAGUAGGUAGCCUAACCGCAAGGGGGGCGCUUACCACGGUGGGAUUCAUGACUGGGGUGAAGUCGUAACAAGGUA
rnacentral:rRNA from 1 species